UGCCAGCAGCCGCGGUAAUACAAAGGGUGCUAGCGUUGUUCGGAAUUAUUGGGCGUAAAGCGCGUGUAGGCGGUUCGUUAAGUCUGAUGUGAAAGCCCGGGGCUCAACCCCGGAAGUGCAUUGGAAACUGGCGAACUUGAGUACGGGAGAGGAAAGUGGAAUUCCGAGUGUAGGGGUGAAAUCCGUAGAUAUUCGGAGGAACACCAGUGGCGAAGGCGGCCACCUGGACGGUGACUGACGCUCAGACCCGAAAGCGUGGGGAGCAAACAGGAUUAGAUA
rnacentral:rRNA from 1 species